rnacentral:piRNA from 1 species
UAACUAUGGUAUCUACAUAUCUAUGGUAA